rnacentral:rRNA from 1 species
GAUGAACGCUAGCGGCAGGCUUAAUACAUGCAAGUCGAGGGACAGCACAGGUAGCAAUACUGGGUGGUAACCGGCAAACGGGUGCGGAACACGUACACAACCUUCCUUUAAGUGGGGGAUAGCCCAGAGAAAUUUGGAUUAAUACCCCGUAAUAUAGUUGAAUGGCAUCAUUUGAUUAUUAUAGCUACGGCGCUUAAUGAUGGGUGUGCGGCUGAUUAGAUAGUUGGCGGGAUAACGGCCCACCAAGUCUACGAUCAGUAGCUGAUGUGAGAGCAUGAUCAGCCACACGGGCACUGAGACACGGGCCCAACUCCUACGGGAGGCAGCAGUAAGGAAUAUUGGUCAAUGGACGCAAGUCUGAACCAGCCAUGACGCGUGAAGGAUUAAGGUCCUCUGGAUUGUAAACUUCUUUUAUUUGGGACGAAAAAGGGUCUUUCUAGGUCAACUGACGGUACCAGAUGAAUAAGCACCGGCUAACUCCGUGCCAGCCGCCGCGGUAACAC